rnacentral:misc_RNA from 1 species
UCCGUGUUAACCACGGCAGUCUCCAUAGAGUGCCCAACUUAAUGCUGGCAACUAGGGAUAGGGGUUGCGCUCGUUGCGAGACUUAACCCAACAUGUCACCACACGAGCUGACGACAGCCAUGCAGCAUCUGUCACUCUGUCGUAUUUCUACGAAAGCUCUAUCUCUAGAGUUGUCAGAGGAUGUCAAACCCAGGUAAGGUUCUUCGCGUUGCUUCGAAUUAAACCACAUGAUCCACCGCUUGUGCGGGCCCCCGUCAAUUCCUUUGAGUUUUAAUCUUGCGACCGUACUCCCCAGGCGCGGUACUUAUUGCGUUAGCGCCGGCUCAACAAGGGUCAAAUCUCGUCAAACCUAGUACCGAUCGUUUACGGCGUGGACUAC